CCUAGGGUGACCCUUCAUUUCCCGGCCGCUCCGCUCAGACUCCUCAAGCUUCCUGCUGCCUCCAAUGCAAUGGUGGAGGAUGAGCUCCACUAAGGAACACAUCCGGCUCACAGAUCUGGCUGGCAUUGCUCUGUCUUGUAACAGCAGCUGCUUUCCCGGCUCUAAGCUCCAAGUGCUAUCACCUUCAGUUGACCAGCUGCGUCUUUGUCCCUCCCCACAUCACUUUCUGCAGCCAGGGCAGCACUCCUGGACAGGAAGCCAUGAACUUGCAAUUCCACCAUUUCUUCCAGUUGCUUUUGGAGAAUUCAGUUUCAAAGUGCGAGUUGAGGAUAACAUUCUGGCUUUCAGAAAUCAUAAAUAAUGAACGGCACAUUUGAGUCAUUAUCGGUGGUUAUCCCUCUUAGAGUCCUCUUUGGUGUGCUCCGACCUAAGGCACCCGUGGAGAAGGAGAAGGAGAUCUCAAGAGGAAAAAUCAAUGCAGGAACAAAGAAACUCUUGGGUCUAGUGAAGAGAGACUGGAUCUUGCUAGGCGAGUCAGGGAUGGGGAGCUGGAACUGGGAAAUGUUAAUUUGCAAGGGUCCCCUGUGUAGCAAGAGGAAACUGCACAUCCCUCUAGCCUGAACUCUGUCUUCAGAUCCCAGCUUCCUACACUCUCACCUGGAGAACUCCCCAAGUUCUUUCUUCUCCUUCAACAUUCCCAACAUCUGGGCUUCCUCUGGGUCCUGGUUUCAGAUGAUUUUCACAUGUCCAUUUCUUGCUUCUACCCUGGGUGAGUUAAAUUUGGAUGACAAUACCCAGAUCUUACAGUUUGAAGGAGAAUUAAAUGGAAUAAUAUGUGCAGAAGUGUUUCGUCAACAGCAAAGUGCAUUUAAAGGCAGAAUGUGCAUGUGAGACAGCCAAGUGUAAAGGGGUCCCCAGAGAAACUCCAACCGACCUGCACACUGGAAGGAGUGUGCACUGGGGUGGAGCCUCGGGAAGUUCCUGCCCUUUGCCGUAGGGAAGGAGCCUGGCCUCUCCUGUUCAGAGAUGGAAGCAGGAACUCAAUCUGUGAGGUGGGAAGCCUGUACUUGCAGGACUCUCACUCUGCUGAGUCCCUGUUUCCAGUUUUUCCCAUUUUUGCCCAAUAAAUUCUUUUUUUCUCACCCUUCACAGUGUUUGUGAGCCCAAUAUUUCACGGCCAUGUGACAAGGACCCAGCUCUUAGAUGAACUAAGGAGAAGGUACUACAACAUUUUUGGUGCUCAUAAUGUGAGGCUUGAGAAGGGUGAGUGAGAUGUAAACCAAGAAAUCUUUUUCCCUCUCAUUUCUAAGUCUUUUCAUCCUUGGACAUCUGAGGAUAGAGGAAACCAUGCCCCCACCUCCACUGGGGGUUGGGGGCCUGUCCAUGUCCUUUUUCUUCCUUUUGUGGAAUGGCCAGGUGAGCAGCAGCUCCCUACCACCAUCCCCUCCCUGCCAGGGCUGGGACACAUGGCCCAAGAAGCCCCAGGCUGCUGGUUGGUGUUUUCUCCUCCGUGCCCAUGGAGUUUCCAUUUUCCCUGGCCAGGGAGGCCAGCUCCAUCCCAAAGCAAUUAAGCUUUUCUCCCGGGUGGAGGAACCAGUUGCAUAAGAAUAAGAGGUUCUUCCCCAGGCAUUUUUAAACUUUUUUUUUUUUUCAUCCCUUUCUCCACUCUGUCAGCAGUUAACUUUUAAAAAGGAAAAAGCAAGGUUUUUCCUUUUAGAAGACGUUUUACUAGGCUAGGAAUGAUAAGAAUCACUGUUAUAUCCUCUGUAAAGUUUUAAUUGUGAAAAAGGAUUUGUGAGGCUGGUCUUAAGCUAUAGCCAAUCUGGUGUACUUUGCAUGUCUAUAUGGCUUGCAGCAAACUUCACUGCAGGCAUCCGUCUUGUUUUACAUCCUGGGGCCGUGGCCUAUAGCCCCAUGGCAAGGUUUUGUUUAGAUAUCCUGCCUUAGGAAAUGAUUCCUUUCUGGUUUAAUAUCUGCAUGUUUUCCUAGCCCCUUCUCUUAAAGGGCUCCACCCAGCAACUGGGUUUUCUUCUGCCUGUCUGUGUAGUUAUACAUGUGUUGUGCAUAAUGAUACCUGUAAAAAGAGCUCUAAUUAACUUGGCCUAAAGGAAGACAUGUGCUUGGAUAAAAUAUUUUUUAAAGGGAAGAGCUGUGGUUCCUUUCAGUUCACAUGACUUUAAUCUCUGAGAAAUAAAAACAGCCUUAAAGAUUAUUGGUAAAAUGCAGAUGCCAUCAAAAUGUAAACAGGUGGGCUUAAAUUGUGCAGGUCAGAUGCAAGAUUUGCUAAGUGUUUUAAGGUUGUAAACUGCCUUUUGGGUUUUGAGAACUAUUUAACUUGUUAGCUCCACAAUUGGUAAGGCCUAGGGACAUACGGAACUAACCACAACCUUAAUUAUGCUGGAAGGAGUCAAAGCUUGGCUGCACUUAGCAUGCAAUUAAAACAACUUACCAGGUUUUACAUUAAAGUUAACAUUGGUAAAAGUUACCAUUAUGACAUGUAAUUGAAACUACUGAAAAUAGAUUUAUAUGCAAAAUGCGUAAAAACAGUAAAAUGUGUUUUUAGUAAGAGAUUAUAAAAAAGCAUGAAAAUGUAAACUCUUACCCAGGGUUAAGAAUUGUUUUGAAUUAGGAUAAAGCCGAAGAUUCAAACACAUUCUGAAAGGUUUCUAAAAAUUAAUCUUGCAGAAGAAAUUCUGUGUGUAAACAUUAACUAAAUUCAAAAGGGUUUUAUAUAGUUUUUCUGUAAAUUGAGCAUUGAAAUAAAAGCACAAUAAGGUUUUCUUAAGGCACUGGUCUGCUCUUUAGCAAAAUUUGUACAGGAUUAUAAAAGGUUUUUGCUUCUUUAAAAUUUCUGAGUCAUCAUUUUGGCAAAAUAAAUAACUUAUGGCAAUCUGGAAUUCUAUUUCAUUACAUCAAGUGUUUUAAACCUCUAACACAUUUCAGAGCCUUCCCAAAAUCAAACUACAGUUUCAAAAUUGUCUUUCCUGAAACCUUCUUUUUGGAAGCUCCAGAAGGGCCCCCAGAGUGCCCAGAAAAGAGAUGUAAACAGGAUUAUUUGAUAUGUUAGGCACAUGAGAUUGCCAAAAUGAUGUUCAAUCUUCUUUAGGUUAUAUUUUUGUGAAUAAGGCUAAUAUAUGUUCCAAAAUUGUAUGGGAUUUCUAAAAUUCUAAACUCUGAGUAUAUGCUAUCAAACACAGUUAAGGUUUUUAAGUUGUUGUAAGCCACAGAGAUAAGCAAACUUGUCAAUUGUGUUUCUAACUGUGACUACCGUGAACAUUUUGUUAUUCACAGACAAUUGGUGUUUUGUUUUAAUCCUUUUCAAAAGAUAGUUUAUAAUAAGUGAUAGCACUCUGAAACGUACUCUUAAAUACAGGUUUCUGAUAACUUUGGAGGUUGUGACAUUGGAAUAAAGGAAAAUGUACAGGACUCAUGAAAGCUAAAAUGUUCAUGAAUAUCAAGCAAAACAAGUAUUAACUAAAUGGACUGAACUCAGAAAGCUGAAGCAAACUGUUUGACUUUUUCUUGGAGUAUUGCUGAUCCUUGUUUUGAUUUUCAGAGUCAAGGAAACUUAUUUUGAACUAUUUAUGGCCAUUAAUAAUUGAGUAAGGUAUACUCCUGUGAACAAAAUUUGUAGCAUAUUUUCUGUCUCUGGCUGGCUUCUCCAGAAUUUGGAAACUAUCUGUGAGUAUUCAUAACUUAUGGAAAUAUACUUGUUUGCAUCAAUGCAGUAAGAAUUCACUUUUCUUUUGCAACAGGAUGCAAUUGGAGAAACUGGUUGUUUUAUCAAGGCUUGGACUGAAAGUGUAUGCUUCCCCUUAAAGGAGUCAAGCUCGACUUGUAGACCUGAUAAGAGCCCCUUAGGAGAAACUAGCCUCAUACCCUUGCCUACACAGUCCCUGUACAGGGUUCCUGGCCUGUGUUCAAUAAAGAAUGUCACUUUCUAACAGGCCUAGGAGCUCCAAGUUUAUCUUGGGACCUUAAGAGGAGAGGAUCACUCAACUCACAGGUAUUUGAAGAUACAAACCCAUGACUGGGUUCAGCUUUAAAAGGUCUUACCUGAGACUCCUUGUGGAAUAGAGUUCCAUCAAAGCCAAUCUAAAAGGCCUAUGUAGAAAUAGUUAUUCUUGCUGCACUUUAUACAAAUAAACAGGCCAAGUAUAAGACUAAAGUCUAUUCUGCAAACAACUCAGUCCUAUCAUGAUUUGUUUCUCUCUCUUUUUUUUUUUUUUUUUUAGCAAAAAUGGGGACUGGAGAGAGAGAAAUUAUCUUUCAAAACUUAUACAUUUGUCAUUAAAUUCUAAACUCACUAGUUGUUUUUAAGUAUUGCCUACAUUUUUAGACUAACCCUGCUUAUUCCUGUGAACCUACCAGCAAUCUCUGGCUGCAGCUCAGAAAGGAAAAGAGGGAUGGGUAAUGUAAAAAUCUGGAUCAAUAUUCUAGUACUGUGCAAUUUUCCUGCAAAUCCUGCCAAGUGAUGCGUAUAAAUAGGAUGCCUAUCACCUGGAGGUUUCCGUUUGGGGAGGUAAGAUCAAGGGGGCUAACCAAAGCCAAGCACCAUGCACCCAAAUCCUAGCAAGCGUAACUGUAGCCACCAGUUAUCUGGGUGUGUCACAAGACAUCUUUUCUCUCCCUUGUUGGAGGAGGAUUUAAUCACACAGCUUCACCUUAGCAUUCAGCUUAUGAUAAGGAGUCCAUGCAACCCCCAGGAGACACAUUUUUGUCCCAAACUCAAUUCCAAGCUUUGGGUCAAAGCCUUAGGAAGAAAACUGGAUCUAAGGGAUCC
rnacentral:lncRNA from 1 species